AUCCUUUUCCGGUUCAUAAGCAUGAUGAUCGGGUUUUCACACGCCUGUGUGAUAUGUGCCUCCCUUCCAACCUUGUUACGACGUCGGCACAUCAUGGUCCCAUAUGGUC